UACGAAGGGUGCUAGCGUUGUUCGGAAUUACUGGGCGUAAAGGGCGCGUAGGCGGCCUCGUCCGUCCGGCGUGAAAUGCCUGGGCUCAACCUAGGAAUUGCGCUCGAUACAGCGAGGCUAGAGUGUGGGAGAGGUUGGUGGAAUUCCCAGUGUAGAGGUGAAAUUCGUAGAUAUUGGGAAGAACACCGGUGGCGAAGGCGGCCAACUGGACCACAACUGACGCUGAGGCGCGAAAGCGUGGGGAGCAAACAGG
rnacentral:rRNA from 1 species